rnacentral:lncRNA from 1 species
ACGGCACACACUAGGGUCUCCGUCUCUCACACACACACACCACAAUGACGUCGUAAACAAUAGCACUAACCACCAUCGUCCGCAGCUCCCGCGUACAGAGGCCUCAGGCUCCCGGCUCCACGUGGACCGACCUCGCCCGGCAGCGCGGGGCCACCUCACCGCGAGCUCCUCCCGCAGCCCGGCCCGGGUCACCUCGACUCGCCAGGCUUAACUCAAUAACCACAACACCGGAAAAGGAAGCAAAGGUCGAAGUUCAUCCGCGGCCCUGAGGCCUGUGGGAAACGUAGUCCAACAACGAAAGAGCCCUGAAGCUCAAGCGGAGCCCGCUGGCCGCAGGGGCCGCACCACGCCCCAGACCCUGGAGUUUCCGGGUGCGCAGACCCUUGCCAUCAGCAGAGGCUGCCGCUGCGCGUCCCCUAGGCGCGGAAGAGGCGGCUGGUGGUCCCUGACGGCAAGGUUUUAUACAUUACGAAUAAAGCUGGCACGUUUCCAUUUCUCCUGGGCAAAUAUUUAGAAGAAAAGUUGCUGGGUAAUUGGUGGAGACAAGGUUUCGCCACAUUGACUGGGCUGGUCUGGAACUCCUGAGCUCAAGCAACCGGCCCUCCUUGACCUCCCAAAGUGCUAGGAUUACAGAGUCACCCAGGCUGGAAUGCAGUGGCAUUGUCAUGGCUCACCGCAGUCUCAAACUCCUGGGCCCAAGUGAUCCUCCCACUCAGCCUCCUGAGUAGCUGGGACUAGAGGCACAUGCAACCACAUGCAGCUAUUUUUUUUUAAAUUUUCUGUAGAGACAGGGUCUCACUGUGUUGCUCAGUUUGUCUCAAACUCCUGGGCUCAAGUGAUCCUCCUGCCUUGGCCUCACAAAGUACUAGGAUUACAGGCAUGAGUCACCACACUCAGCUGAACUCUACUCUUUAUGUUCAGGAAAGCACUGGAGAAGAGAGAGGACAAGAGAAACAGGUCCGUAGUGACAGGAGCCUAGGAAUAGAGCAGGCCUUCAGUCUUGGUGAAAAAAUAAAUGGUAUUCUAAGCCUUCCUUUGGACAUUAAUUCAGUACUACCCACUCUUUUUCUCUUGUCCAUUCCUCCCUUAUAUUUUUUUUAUAAAAUGAAGAACUCAAUCCCUUAUUUUUUUUUUCUAUCCUUCAAGUGAAGGGCAAGAACAAAGAGUGUGGGGGAGAUUUUUUUUUUUUUUUUUUUUUUGAGACGGAGUCUUAACUCUGUCACCCAGGCUGGAGUGCAGUGGUGCUAUCUCGGCUCACUGCAACCUCCGCCUCCCAGGUUCAAGCGAUCCUCCUGCCUCAGCCUCCCAAGUAGCUGGGACUACAGGCCUGCGCCACCGCACGCAGCUAAUUUUUUGUAUUUUUAGUAGAGACGAGGUUUCAACAUGUUGGACAG